GCAGUGGUGGUUCAGUGGUAGAAUUCUCCUCUUGCGUGUGGGGAGACCCUGGUUUAAUUCCAGGCCAAUGCA
rnacentral:tRNA from 1 species